CUUCCCCCCUCUCUCUAAAAUCACAUCUCUGCUAAAAUUUCAUGACCCAGCUCUAAAUCUUUCUAAUCAAAAUGUGAAUCUCAUUUAUCAGGAAUACAAAAAAAGAGAGCCGCACAGGAAGACUCAUUUGAGGCGUAUUUGGUGUUGUUGUUGUUGAUUUUCAGUCUUGACAGAACUUGACUAUCUUAGUUUGGAGAAAUCCUAUUACUGGAGAAAUAUACACACCAGAUAAUGUUUGGGAGAUCCAACAUACAUGCAAGGAUGAUAGAGGAGAACUGGUGUGAGUGGAUUCACAAUCCCAACAAAUUCAUGGUCAACUCCAUGAUGUUGUCACUCAACAACAAUCUGAACAGAGCAUUCCAUGACUAGAGAUGAGAUUUUAUCCACCGUUCUUGGUAAGAGAACAAGCUAUGUUCGCGGAAAAGGAUACGGAGAGAAGCCUCCUAAAAAGAGUAACACGCAGCAUGCAAACAUAGAGUCCAUCGUGUCUUCAGCUAUGGAAAUUGUGCGUCAAGAGAUGAAAGCCGAGAUGGAUAGGAAGUUGCAAGAAGAACGUGAACAAAUGGCUGUUGAGUUGAAAAGAAAUAUGGAGCUUGAGUUGCAAAGGAAGUUGGCAGAGGAGUGUGAACACACAAAUGCAGAAGUAGGCAAAAGGAUCAAUCUAGAAGUGGACAAGAGGAUGCAUGAACAAUUUGCUAGUUUCAUGAUCAGAAUGCA